CACGCAUGACACACUGCAUAUCAAUAAGCGGAGGAAAAGAAACUAACAAGGAUUCCCCUUAGUAACGGCGAGUGAAGCGGGAAGAGCUCAAAUUUGAAAUCUUCAAGGUUUUACCUUGACGAAUUGUAGUUUAAAGAAGUGUUUUCUGUUGAAGUUUCGGUAAAAGUUCUUUGGAAUAGGACAUCAUAGAGGGUGAGAAUCCCGUAUUUGACCGUUAUUUUCAGCUGUGUGAUACACUUUCAAAGAGUCGGAUUGUUUGGGAAUGCAGUCCAAAAUGGGUGGUAAAUUUCAUCUAAAGCUAAAUAUUGGCGAGAGACCGAUAGCGAACAAGUACCGUGAGGGAAAGAUGAAAAGAACUUUGAAAAGAGAGUUAAACAGUACGUGAAAUUGUCAAAAGGGAAGCGUUUGACACCAGUGUUGUUUUCUCGAAAAUCAAUUAAAAAUGGCUUGAUUUUGUGUUGUAUUGACCUUAAAAGCUUUCUUCACUUUUUUCAUGUCUUUUUUAAUGCACUUUUCGUUUAACAAGUCAACAUCAGUUUCUUUUGUUGUAAAAAGGUCAUUGGAAGGUGGCUUUCUUUUCGGAGAAAGUGUUUAUAGCCUUUGACUCCUACAAUCGGAGAGACUGAGGUCUGCAGCGUAGAUCCUUCUGGAUUAGAUUCAUUUGUGCUAAGUUAUAGCUUUUCAUAGACAACUUGUUGACUAUGUUUAGUCUUGUAGCUUACUCGCUUAUGUAAUUUUACCUACGCUUAGGAUGUUGACUGAUAUGUAGUCGUA
rnacentral:rRNA from 1 species